ACAAAAUCAGUCAAAUUGGAAAGGAAUUUGAGGGCUAAAUGAAUGCAUGAUCUAAGCACUAUGAUCCCCUAAGUGUUCCUAACAUCAAGAGUCAUGUCAACAUGGAUACAAACAUGGAAGUUCCACGGGUCAAAAGUAAACAUGGGAGCUAUGCGUGAAUUCGGAUGCACGAUGUUGCAUGGACAUAACAACAUUAUGGAGGAUAGAAGGAUUGAAGAUCGAGUCAAUAGCAAGGGUUGUACGGGAAGGAUCAGUCACAUAGUUUGACUAAUAUAGGUCUUGAAGCAUUAAUAUAAUGGAAUGUGGUAAAUCCUUUUUAAUGAAUGUAUGAAAAUUUGUAUUUGAACCAUCAUGUAAGUAUCAUGUCUAAUAAAGAACGAA